rnacentral:rRNA from 1 species
UACGAAUGGGGCAAGCGUUGUUCGGAAUCACUGGGCUUAAAGCGUGCGUAGGCGGACUCACAAGUCAGGAGUGAAAGCCCCGGGCUCAACCUGGGAAUUGCAUUUGAGACUGCGUAGCUAGGGUGCGGAAGAGGGAAGCGGAAUUUCCGGUGUAGCGGUGAAAUGCGUAGAUAUCGGAAGGAACACCAGUGGCGAAAGCGGCUUCCUGGUCCAGCACCGACGUUCAGGCACGAAAGCGUGGGGAGCAAACAGG